GUGUGUGCCAGGGCUCCUUGCCCCCCGAACUGUGCUCUGUGCCGCCCCAGUCCUCCCCGGUAUUUGAACCGAGGAGGAGGCUGAACAAAUAUGGAAAACAUUCGGAGAGGCCGUCAGGGCUUGGAAAUGCCACAUAUAGCCUGGAGAAGAGGGGGAUUCAAGGGGGGUAGCCAACUGCCAACGCGCCGGCGCUGCAGAGGAUGGUAACAGAAGAUUAUGGACUCAAUGUCUGCCCAUCUCUCCCCCAAAGCAGUCGCCUACACUUGUCCCACUCUCCACCUUUCCUCAGGCUGGGUUUUCCUCCAAAUAGCAAUAACAGCACAGUCUGGUGUACUCAGACCGGAGAUCCUCUAUGUGAAAGGUUUUCUGAGGACAUCAUAGGUCUUCCAGAAUGACUGCGUGUGCUCCACCAGAUGCUGAAGAAUAUUCCCUCCCAUCCAAAGUGACUCUGAGCCUCAUAUUUCCUUGGCUUAGCAUUGUUAUGAAAUGUCAGGGCUUCACAACUAUUUUGACUCUCUUUUGCAAUGUGCCCAAGGGAACUCAACCUCUGUUAAAGCACUGAUUCUGUCCAGCAGGCCCUACAGACUUGCAUCACUUCUCAUUCUGGAAGAAACUCAGCCAUCACUGCAGGGUAGCUGAGACAUAGAAAUGUGAGGGCUGAAAGCAAGAUGUGCUGUUUCUGGAGGGCAGUUGCUAGUGGAACUAUAUGAGGCCAACUUGGGGACUCUUCUCAGUCAGUAUUUGUCUGUCACACAAAAGAGGGAGGGGUGCAUCAUGAAAUUUCCUGGUGGCACACAAAUGUGAGCACUUGUCAAUACACAAGAGGCUCCAGCCUAUCAAGCAGGAAGAACUGCCUGACCUUGAGGAUGGGAACAAUGAGAAUAGGACAAAACCCAGUUGUGCCAAAUGUAAGGUUUGGCACGAAAGGUUCAAGUGUUGGAAUUUCUCUGAGAAAAUAAGAUGUCGGUGACAGACUCAAGCACAUCGACUGAUCACAGAAUUAAUAUGAAACAGCGAAGUGACACAGCCGUGAAAAGGUACAUAUAAUACAGGCUGCACUGCAGACUUCCAUCAGAGCUUGAAAUGGAUUAAUGACAGGGAGCAAGUUCUGGUGGACCUUGUAAGGAGGCUAUGUACGGUUUUCUUCACCUCUGCUUGAGAAAGAUGAAUUGUGGAUGCAGUAAGCAUAACCAGCUGUUGGUGGGCUACUUGGUGGGGGGCUAGAGACCCUACUUAACAGUGGAAAAUUAGACAGGAUUGGUUCAUUCAACCUGACAAAAUUAGAGGUUAGAGAGGACACGCUAGGUCUAUAAAUACCUUGUGUUAAACUUAAAACAAUGUUGGCAGGAGGACAAAUGGAUACAAAUUGGCCAUGAGUGUGUUUAGCUUGGAAAUCAGAAGAUCUCUAACCAUUGGAGCAGCGAGGUUGGAGAGCAGCGUGAGACAUAAAACUUGCUUGGAGGCAGGGCAGUAUCAGUUGUUGAAUUACACCAUUUGACAUGGCUGCCCGAGAUGAUCCACUGAUCCAGGAAGGGCCUUCCCUUCCAAAUUCUGGUUGCAGGCAGGCUUUCUGCUCCUGAUCGCUCAUGCGGAAGCCCUAAAUCAGCCACAUGAGCACGCAAGGCUCUCAGUCCCCUGCAAAGCUCUUGUAAGGUCUUGGCUUAAUCUAACUCGUUAUUUGUUAGUGGCAAUUAUUUAGAUUUCAUGCAUUUCUUACAGAAUAAACUGGAGG
rnacentral:lncRNA from 1 species